CGCAAGUGUGAUCUGGAGCAGCUCUGCAGCUUCUGAUUGGUGUGUCUCUGGAAAUACCAAGAGCAAUGAAGAAAGCAGAGGGAGCACCUCCAUGAAAUAACAGCAAGGCAUCAGGAGGAGCUGGUGGAAAAGAAUGCCAGAAUAACUGCUGCUUGCCCAGCUGACCCCUGACACGGCAACAUUAAUAGAGAGACUGAGGUAACGGGAGAUGGAGGCAAUGGAGGAGGAAGAAGAGAUGAGCUCCCAGGUACAUCUAUUCACAAACAUUCGACCAACAUAGACAAAGAUGAGAUGCCAUGUUUAUUCGACAAAAGUGAAAUAAUCAUAAUGACAGGCUGUUGUUUCAUAGGAGAUUUACAUAGGAGUCAAGCAAAAAAAAAAAAUAAUAAAAAA